UUCCCCUAGAAGUAAUAGCUAUUCUGAAUUUGAGGUUUAUUACUCUAUGCAUUUAUUUACAGAUACAUAUAUACAUAAAUGUAUUAAUAUAUGAAGAAUUAAUCAAUUAAUAUAUGAAAAAUUAAUAUAGUUUAGCAUGUCUUUAAGUUUGUUUCAAUGGUAUUCUUCUGAAGCUUGCUUUAAUUGUUUAAAAUUUGAGGUUUACCAUGUUGAUUCACAAGGUAUUCUAGUUUCCAAUCAUUUGAUUGUGGUCUGCUUUUGCCCUCUGAGUUUUAGGGUAUUACCUUGUCCCAAGUGGUUUUGCACUUCCUGACAGAGUGCCUUGGUUGUGUUUUUAUUUUCAGCAUUGUCCUGGGUACUUGAUGGGCCCUUUCAAUUUGGAAAUUCAUAUCCUUCAGUUCUGAGAAUUUUUCUUUAAUUAUUUCAUAGAUGAUAUCUUCUCUUUGGUUUUUCUGUUCUCUUUUCCUAUGGACAUCCUGUACAACUUCUCCAAUUUUAUUAUAUUUUCUCCUCUUUUCAUUUAUUUUUGCUCUGCCACCUGAAAAAUAUUCCUAACUAUAUUAAUCUUCUAGCCCUUUUAUUGUUUUAAAAUUAUGUCUUCAUAUUUUAAAUUUUUAACAAAAUAUUUGUUCUCUGAAUGUUCUCUUUUGAUAACAUCAUGUUUGUGUUUCAUGGUUGCAAGCUUUUCUUUAUAUCAAUAAACUUUUUAAAAAGCAAGUUUUCUUCUACCUGCACAGUUUGUUUCCUCCAUGAAGCGUUUUUCUAUUUGUUAACUUUGGCCUAUCUUGUUUGAGACUUUCAUUGGCAGGCAGUAGCCUUUGGCUGUUGAUUCAUACAUAAGAACUGGAGACUAAAAUAUUCUUAGAAAGCUCUGGGAAUGUGUUUAGGGUUUUUCAACCUAUGAUCUGGCAGGACCAUUGCACUGGGAAGCCUAAUAUUAUCCGUGCCUUUCGGUGUUUCUUCUCCAUCUGCAGAUUCUUUACAGCUGACUCUGGUCUCUGGGGCAGACUCUUCCAGUCUCCUGCCCCGAAGGUGCUGGUCUGGGGCCUGACUUUCUGGUAUCCCAGAGGAGGUGAGCAGGGGGUGCAGAAGGCUUGCAUUUACCUAAUGCCCCACCCGUUACAACACUCAUGUUCUUCAUCCAGAGAUCACCUUCAGAGAAAACCUCUGAGUCUUCUGCCAAAGGGAGGGAAUAAUGAGGGAAGAUCUGUGGAUCUGACUGCUUUUUUGAUAGACUCGAACAAGCCUCCUUAGCCAUCGGUUUUUUUCCCCUCAAUUUCAAAAGUGCCUGCUGCUGCUAAUUUCUGGAGCUCUGAGGCAUUCAUUCUGAGUUAUUAAUCAGAUUGGGUCUCUAUUUUCCCCACUGCCAGUUUCAAAUUCAGCUUUCUUGGCUCUGCCAAGCAAGACCCUUCACCAGCCAUUUCUCCAACUUCCAAAAUCUGGUUGCUGCUGUCUCCUCUCCCAGGCUCCCCAUUCUUCUGGGUUGUGUCUUUUCAAAAACCCCUCCACUGUUAUUUUAGUGAGGUUUCAAGAGGCACCAGAAGUAAAUGCGUUUAAGACCCCCUCCUUGUAGAUGGAAAUCAAGCUUCCCCUCUCCUCAUCCUCCCUUCAAAGCCAGCUAGUUCUGCAGUUCAGUGCCUUUAAUUGCACAAACAUGUAAUUGGGCAGAUACUAUGGGUCAGCCCUGGACUUGUCUCAGACUAGUGCCAUCCAACGGAUGGACUCUGAGCAAAGGUUUGCUGAAUUGCACUGCAGUGCCAAGUGCGUCCUGAAGCGAGACUUGGGCUGGCUGCCUGGGGUCCCCUGGCCUCCGAGUCUGUCCUGACUCUUGCCCGCUCCCCUCAGUGGCCUUACUGUAAGUUCCCUGCAUACGAACCUUCAAGUGGCAAACUUCCGAAGGUGCAAACAUGCAUCUGGUUCCAGCAAGGAGCCAGAACCUGUGCCAUAGGUGUCCGGCGAGUUUAGCUGCAGCUUGCCCUCCGCCUGCUGCUGCUGACAGCCCUUCAGCUCCGCAUCUUCCACCUUCCCUCCCUCCUCAGUCAGCGACACUUCCUGCCCACUCACGUGAAGCCAGCCCCUGUCUACCAGCUGUCACAGUGAACUACCAUACGUGUAAAAGUACUGUAAGAUUGAGCAUCUUACAUCCUGAGUUAGAUCCAGAAUUACAAAUCCACUGACCUGGAGGAGCUUAGGCCUGGAUUGAGGCUAAUGGACACUGACAUAGAGCUGCAUCUUUUUAAAGAAAAAGUCUUGGUCUUGUUCAUCAUUGUUUCUCCAUCACUUGGUACCAAAUCUAUGGUCAUAGGUUUCGCUCAUAGGUCACAGGUUUCUAGUUUCUGGGUAAGUGGGGUGGUGGCUGGAAGUAGGAUAAACCCUCUUACAAAUACCUUAGUGAUGAAUUUAACAAGCGCUCCUUUAAAAAUAUAGAUAUAAUAAGACCUCAACUAAAAGAGUAAGUUGAAGAAUUUCCCCAUAAAAGGAAAAUUAGGAGAUUAAGUACUCUGAGCUAUCUGGUAAAAGAAGAAUUGGAUUCCAAAGUUUAAAGCAAUUCCGUGAAAGCCUUUAUUAAUAUUUUCAGUGUUCACGGAAAGAAAAUGAGCAGCCAAGAGCAACCUAAAUAGGAAAAUACCAGUGAUGCCUUCAUUACACAUCUUUAAUUAGUACUAAUGGGUGCUAUGUAAUUAAUUCAAUUCACCCUUCCUUCUUCAGUAGAAACAUCUCUCUUCCCUGCAGCUUCCAGGAGAUGCUGUAAAUUUGUCCUGAUUUACUGCAAAUAAGAUGCUUUCACUUCCUGAUGCUGGUUCUCUGACAGGAAAAUGUUUCUUUUCUUCCCGAUUUUAUGGAUAAGGGCUGACCUCUUGGCUCUUUUACCACCGGAGAAGAGCCCAGAUGAUUAGAAUACUUGACCUAGCUCAGUAGACCUUUGUCAAACCCCUUCCCCAAGAUCCAGGACUGUGUAGACUUACUGUUAUUCCUGCUAGUUUCAGCUUCAGCGGGACCCACUCCUUACCCAACUCUCAGCUUCUCCCUCCUAACAGACACCAGGGUGGAUUCCAGCCCCAGCUAUCCUCUCCUUCAGUGUGUUUAGCACCACCAUAAUGUGUCUCUUUAUUUCCGACCUUUACUUCCUGUUCCAAGGGUUGUAAACUAUCUCGACACUAAUAGUCUCUCUUUUGUAACAUUUCAAGUUGAGCCAUUCACCAUCAUCCCUCAUUCACUGAAACACAUGUAAUAUAAUGUGUCAGCUGAUGAAAUAUCAAACUGCUCUUCUGAUUAAUGACUUCAGAUAACAUACAAGGUCAUGAACAGUGUUUAUCUUUAGGAUAUGGAAGGUAAAGAAAAUAGUUUACAUGUUUCAGAAUGCGGUGAUGGCCACUCUGCAGUACCUAUUCCACCAAGAUGGGAAAGAUGAUGAAAUUCCCCUUCUACUCCAAGAUGUAUUCGGGAGGGCUGAGAAGAGAAAGGAAACAGCUAUGGAGGAACACAACACCAGAACUCUGCAUAAGGCAAAGUGCAGAUCAAGGACAAAAUGGCUUUAGCCACCUCACGGGAAACAAAUAAAUAUGGCUGUGUGUGUUUCUUAACAGCAUGACCUUCUGGUUGCAUAUGGAGGAGAGUCUGGAAAUCUAACCUAAACAGAAAUAAUGAAAAAACUGAUCUGAUAACUUUUUUUUUUCUGGGAAAAGUAAUUUUCGACAUUACGUGCAAAGAGAAAAACUUAAACCCAUUAUGCCAGGGCCAGGACUGUUCUUAGCCCUUUAGUGUGCCUGUGGAAGGGCUUCCCAGGUGGCACUGGUGUAAAGAACCCGGCU